GACGAACGCUGGCGGCGUGCCUAAUACAUGCAAGUUGAGCGCUGAAGGUUGGUACUUGUACCAACUGGAUGAGCAGCGAACGGGUGAGUAACGCGUGGGGAAUCUGCCUUUGAGCGGGGGACAACAUUUGGAAACGAAUGCUGAUACCGCAUAAAAACUUUAAACACAAGUUUUAAGUUUGAAAGAUGCAAUUGCAUCACUCAAAGAUGAUCCCGCGUUGUAUUAGCUAGUUGGUGAGGUAAAGGCUCACCAAGGCGAUGAUACAUAGCCGACCUGAGAGGGUGAUCGGCCACAUUGGGACGGAGACACGGCCCAAACUCCUACGGGAGGCAGCAGUAGGGAAUCUUCGGCAAUGGACGAAAGUCUGACCGAGCAACGCCGCGUGAGUGAAGAAGGUUUUCGGAUCGUAAAACUCUGUUGGUAGAGAAGAACGUUGGUGAGAGUGGAAAGCUCAUCAAGUGACGGUAACUACCCAGAAAGGGACGGCUAACUACGUG
rnacentral:rRNA from 1 species